GCCGCCGUAGCUCAAUUGGAAGAGCGCCCGCCUGUUAAGCGGAUGGUUCCAGGUUCGAGUCCUGGCGGCGGCG
rfam:Thermoplasmatales archaeon DG-70-1 WOR1_52_54_3318, whole genome shotgun sequence.